rnacentral:misc_RNA from 1 species
CAACCCUCAAGCUCUGCUUGGUGUUGGGGAUCGGCGUAGCGCCUCGGUGCUGCCGUCCCCUAAAUCUAGUGGCGGUCCUGCCGUAGAUACCUCUGCGUAGUAGUUUUCUCCUCGCUCUGGAAUCUCGGUGGUGCCCUGCCGUUAAACCCCCAACUUCUGAAA